rnacentral:rRNA from 1 species
UGAAGCUGGAUUCGCUAGUAAUCGCGCAUCAGCCAUGGCGCGGUGAAUACGUUCCCGGGCCUUGUACACACCGCCCGUCAAGCCAUGGGAGCCGGGGGUGCCUGAAGUACGUGACCGCGAGGAGCGUCCUAGGGCAAAACUGGUGACUGGGGCUAAGUCGUAACAAGGUAAC